rnacentral:rRNA from 1 species
UACGGAGGAUGCAAGCGUUAUCCGGAAUGAUUGGGCGUAAAGCGUCCGCAGGUGGCUAUGUAAGUCUGCUGUUAAAGAGUGAGGCUCAACCUCAUAAGAGCAGUGGAAACUACAUGGCUAGAGUGCGUUCGGGGCAGAGGGAAUUCCUGGUGUAGCGGUGAAAUGCGUAGAGAUCAGGAAGAACACCGGUGGCGAAAGCGCUCUGCUAGGUCGCAACUGACACUCAUGGACGAAAGCUAGGGGAGCGAAUGGG